CACCUGUAACACAAUGGAUAGUGCUUUGGACUUCUAAUCCAAAGGUCAUGGGUUAGAUUCCCACCUAGGAUGG